AGAGGCGUAUCUAGAGGGGGUGCCGUGGGUUCACGUGAACCCAUGCUCCCCUCUCUAGAUCAUGUAUAGUAGUGUUAUAUUUUAAAAAAAUAUUUAAAUAUAGAUGUGUGAACCCAUGUUCAAAGUAUAUCAUAUAAUAAUGCGAUGAUGAUUGGGUGCACCUCUCUAAGUGAGGAUAUAAAUUUAAAUCUUAUAUCUAUCUUGUCUCUGUGAGUAACACCUUUCCAAGUGGUUAUCGGUUACACUUUUGACGUUUCAACUAAUUUUGCUUUUGUUUUUUUCCUUUAAUCUUUCAAAAUUUUCAAGUGUGUUACAUUGAAAAUUCCUAAAAAAUUUAACAUUGUAAAUUUUUUAUAUAAUUAAAUCAAAUGUGUAUAUUAAAAUUU
rnacentral:lncRNA from 1 species